AUUGAACGCUGGCGGCAGGCCUAACACAUGCAAGUCGAACGAGUGGCGGAAGGGUGAGUAAUGUCUGGGAAAGUGCUUGAUGGAGGGGGAUAACUAUUGGAAACGGGAGCUAAUAUCGCAGACAAUCAGAUGUGCCCGGAUGGGAGUAGCUGGUUGGUGGGGUAACGGCUCACCAAGGCGACGGUCCCUAGCUGGUCUGAGAGGAUGACCGGCCACACUGGAAUGGAGACACGGUCCAGACUCCUACGGGAGGCAGCAGUGGGGAAUAUUGCACAAUGGGCGCAAGCCUGAUGCAGCCAUGCGGCGUGUAUGAAGAAGGCCUUCGGGUUGUAAAGUACUUUCAGCGGGGAGGCGUUACCCGCAGAAGAAGCACCGGCUAACUCCGUGCCAGCAGCCGCGGUAAUAC
rnacentral:rRNA from 1 species